rnacentral:rRNA from 1 species
GAUCCUGGCUCAGGACGAACGCUGGCGGCGUGCCUAACACAUGCAAGUCGAACGAGAAUCUUUGAACAGAUCUUUUCGGAGUGACGUUCAAAGAGGAAAGUGGCGGACGGGCGAGUAACGCGUGAGUAACCUGCCCAUAAGACGGGGAGUAAUCCAUGGAAACGUGGACUAAUACCGCAUAUUGUAGUUAAGUUGCAUGACUUGAUUAUGAAAGAUUUAUCGCUUAUGGAUGGACUCGCGUCAG